UAGGCGCGCUAAUUUUUGAAUUUGACUCGAAGCGAGAUCGGAUCUUCGUGGUGGGAUGGGCAGGGGCGUGGGGCUUUUGUUUGUUCCCUUUUACUUUGAGGACAAGUCUGGGGGCAUUAGGCCUGAGAUCGAAUGGUGAACUGAGACGUCGAGUGCCCGUUGGUGUGUCCAUCUUGGUCACAGAUGAAGAAGAGCGUUGAAAUGAAAAGUUGUGCUGACAAACAUGACCACAUGUGUGACCCUGAAAGAUCUGUUUUUGUGGAAAUUUAGGAAGGUCGAAAGGCCAAACAUGUGACUGUACACGACAAAAAAAGCCGACCUUCCUACGUUCCCUUUCAACCAGGAGCAUGCGGCAUGGCGCCGACAACUUCGCAGUCCUCGAACACCAAGCUUAAAGCUGAAUGUCUAUUAAAUGGAACCAAGUCUUGGAUAAUUUUUUUUUUUUGGGGGGUGUGUGGAGAGGUGGCACAGUUGGCAUGUGUCACCCAAAACCCCUACAAGCUGUUACGGGCUCUCAUGAGUGUACUCAAAUUAAAAAAACAGAACUUAUGUUACUCGAAAGUAACCAUCAUUCACCCGGUUCCAAGUUCUCAACAUUUCCCAGGUCGCUGAUUAGGGAAACAUCAUGCGAGCCCUCCAUUAUCUUGACCAGUUGAGGAAAUGGUUGUCGAACCAAAGUAACCAAUCUCCGCAUCCUACCGGACCUUGUGCUUUGAAACAACCCAGACACUUCCAACAUAGUACAAAGAGGGUAAAUUGGGGCCUUGGACAAUUCUUCGACGAAGACAUGUCCACGUCACCCUGAUUUUGGAGCUCGGACAUCUAUGAAGAUCAGUCCUCCUUCGUAGGAGAGGAUAUGAACUUUCGUUAUUCCAGCCAAGAGAUCGAGAUUCAUUCUAUGUAUUUUCAGUCUUGAGUUUGUCAUAAUAAACGCGAGUUUGGGGUCAA